AUACGGAGGAUCCGAGCGUUAUCCGGAUUUAUUGGGUUUAAAGGGUGCGUAGGCGGCCUUUUAAGUCAGCGGUGAAAGUCUGUGGCUCAACCAUAGAAUUGCCGUUGAAACUGGGGGGCUUGAGUAUGUUUGAGGCAGGCGGAAUGCGUGGUGUAGCGGUGAAAUGCUUAGAUAUCACGCAGAACCCCGAGUGCGAAGGCGCCCGGUCAAGCCAUGACUGACGCUGAUGCACGAAAGCGUGGGGAUCAAACAGGAUUAGAUACCCUGGUAGUCCACGCAGUAAACGAUGAUCACUAGCUGUGUGCGAUACACUGUAAGCGGCACAGCGAAAGCGUUAAGUGAUCCACCUGGGGAGUACGCCGGCAACGGUGAAACUCAAAUGAAUUGACGGGG
rnacentral:rRNA from 1 species